GACUUCAAAUUCACAAAAGGAAGGAGGAGUGCAGCACAUGUUGAAGUGCAGGGGUGUCUAAACCUUGCUGGAACUCAGAACAGUGCUGACAAUGCUCAGGGGCCUCUGAAUCAGAGUCUCUAAUACCUGGUUUAACCAAAAAUCAAUACUCACAGCUUAUGUUGCUGCUCCAACAGACACAAAUUUCAGAGUCUCGGCAUCAGUCCAGUCUUAUGGCAUCAGCCAACUUUGCUGGUAAUUUUUCUCCAACCAAUCAUUUAAAGAAUGUAUCAUAUGGGGCUUGCAUGCUAACUAAAAUAAGUGACUGCAUUUGGAUUAUAGACUCUGGUGCCACU
rnacentral:lncRNA from 1 species